CUGCACGGCGCACCCGCCCUUCUCCAACCGAGCGCGUCUCUUUUUCUGCCCGUGUAUCUGUACGUUUUUAGCUCAACAGUUUCUGCCUUUCUCUUGCUUUUCUUUCCCGACUUGUGCGCUUCUUUUUUCCCCGUUUCUUCUGUAUUCUGAUGACGGGGGCACACACAUCUCUCGGUGCAUGGCAUCCCAGGGUUCCGGUACUCCCACCCUGAGUGGUGAGAAGCCACUUAGUCCCUAGCCCCUAACAAUGCCAGAACCGCUUGUGGCGGUGCCAGGCUCAAGUACCUAGCUUGUGCGGAGGGGUCACAGCGAUGUACCGCCGCUGGUAUGCCGGCGGUCAGGCGCUGGAUGGCGCGGCAUCGCGGGCGACCCGCGACGGUGCACACGCUUGCGCAUCCGCAUGAUGGGCACAGCGCCAACCGAGCUCGAGCGUAUCCCACCCGGCCCUCACUGCCUGCUGAUGGGGAGCCUGCGUGCCACGCCGAGGAGGAUGCACCAGGUGGCGACCGGCAUGAGGGGAGCCGGCUGCGAGGCGGCCCGCGGAGCGGUGGCGCGUAGCGUGUGAGGCAGAGGCCGUGCUCUCAGCUGACUGGGACGGCGCACGGCUGCAACGCGUGUGCGAACGGCAUGCUUCGCACCAGGCGACGGGGGCCGUGGCAGACUGGCGGGUGGUGGUGGUGUGGAGUGGUGUUUGGCUCCUGUUGCAUGAGGCAGAGAGCCAACACGGCGCAGAAACGAAAACUGAACGAAACACGUUGGUUGUUGUGCUUUUAUUUGAUGUCUGCCUUUUCUGUUUUCUUUUUCUUCGCUGUUAUCUUUUGCUUUGAAUUUGUGAAGUUCUCUCUCUUCCUUCUUUGUUUGCUCGGCGCAGUGGCCCGUCUCUCUCUCGCUCUCUCAGUCGUUCUGCGCGUGCGCGUGUAUAUCUUUCUGUUCUCCUUUUCGGCUCAUUCCGUGCAUGUUGUCCCGCUAAAACGAAAGCGAAGUUUCAGUAACUAAGAACUGCGCACGCCGUUUGGUCCUCUUUCGACGUGUGCUUGUCUAUGUCCGUGAUGAGGCUGUGCGUUUCGGUGUGUUUGUUCAUUUCAAGAUGGGCACCCAUGGAGCGGUCCCACAACGCGCUCUGAUGUAUCAUUCUGUUUAUUACUAAAUGGCGACGUCCGGUCUGAAGCACGGAAGCGCAAACACACAUGGACAGACGCAUGCAAGCGCAAGGGAACUCGGCGAGAGGCGUGCUUCUCUAUACAAGAGGAGUCGUGUCACACAGACAGUUCUUCAUCUCUCUUUCUGUGCUCAAGAUGUGACUUCGUUUGGAGACACCCAGACGCCCCAUGAGCAUGUCCCCCUCUACCCAUACACACAU
rnacentral:misc_RNA from 1 species